CGAGUAGGCGGUGGAGCAAGUCUGAGGUGGAAUCCUAUGGCUUAACCAUAGAACUGCCUUAGAAACUGUUUCACUUGAGUCAGUGAGGGGAGGGCGGAAUUCCUGGUGUAGCGGUGAAAUGCGUAGAUAUCAGGAGGAAGGCCUGUGGCGAAGGCGGCCCUCUGGCACUGCACUGACGCUGAGGCGCGAAAGCGUGGGGAGCAAACAGGAUUAGAUACCCUGGUAGUCCACGCCCUAAACGGUGGGCAUUAGGUGUAGGGCUCGUAAGGGUUCUGUGCCGAAGGGAAACCAUUAAAUGCCCCGCCUGGGGAGUACGGCCGCAAGGUUGAA
rnacentral:rRNA from 1 species